UCCGUCAUGGUCUAGUGGCUAGGAUUUACCGCUCUCAUGUUGAGGUUCCGAUACGGGUCCUCUAACAGAAAGCCGGUAAGGCCGGGGUUCAAUUCCCCGUGACGGAA